rnacentral:rRNA from 1 species
AUCCUGGCUCAGGACGAACGCUGGCGGCGUGCCUAAUACAUGCAAGUUGAGCGCUGAAGGUUGGUACUUGUACCAACUGGAUGAGCAGCGAACGGGUGAGUAACGCGUGGGGAAUCUGCCUUUGAGCGGGGGACAACAUUUGGAAACGAAUGCUAAUACCGCAUAAAAACUUUAAACACAAGUUUUAAGUUUGAAAGAUGCAAUUGCAUCACUCAAAGAUGAUCCCGCGUUGUAUUAGCUAGUUGGUGAGGUAAAGGCUCACCAAGGCGAUGAUACAUAGCCGACCUGAGAGGGUGAUCGGCCACAUUGGGACUGAGACACGGCCCAAACUCCUACGGGAGGCAGCAGUAGGGAAUCUUCGGCAAUGGACGAAAGUCUGACCGAGCAACGCCGCGUGAGUGAAGAAGGUUUUCGGAUCGUAAAACUCUGUUGGUAGAGAAGAACGUUGGUGAGAGUGGAAAGCUCAUCAAGUGACGGUAACUACCCAGAAAGGGACGGCUAACUACGUGCCAGCAG